GGCCUCUCUCUCAUUAGGCUGUGAGAGAUGGGGAUAAAUUCUCCUCAGUGGGGGCUAAAGGUCAAGAUCAGCCCUUGAGAAAAUUGACAGAGCCACCAAGCACCUAGUAGCCUUGUUUUCUUGCAUCAGACAUAA
ensembl:scaRNA